rnacentral:rRNA from 1 species
CCUACGGGUGGCAGCAGUAGGGAAUUUUCGUCAAUGGGCGCAAGCCUGAACGAGCAAUGCCGCGUGAACGAGGAAGGUCUUCGGAUCGUAAAGUUCUGUUGAAGGGGAAAAAGAGCGGAGAGAGGAAAUGAACUCCGAUUGACAUUACCCUUCGAGGAAGUCACGGCUAACUACGUGCCAGCAGCCGCGGUAAUACGUAGGUGGCGAGCGUUAUCCGGAAUGAUUGGGCGUAAAGGGUGCGUAGGCGGCCUGCUAAGGCUGGAGUGAAAGGUACCGGCUAAACCGGUACAGGCUCUGGAAACUGGCGGGCUAGAGAGCAGGAGAGGGCGGGGGAACUCCAGGUGUAGCGGUAAAAUGCGUAGAU